rnacentral:misc_RNA from 1 species
AUGUACAAGCCCCAAAACGCUCAAUAGAUGAGAAGAAUGGCCUAACUAGAAACUAAAAUAAUAGAUAAUUGAAGAUAUUUUCAUUUGCUCUUCGUACAUGAAGACUGCAGUUCCCUAUUUAUUUCUCCCAAAUAAAUUUAUGUAGGUCUUUUGAACCGGUGACAACCGAUAAGAGAGAAUUACAAGUCCACUUUCAAUGGAUGAUGAUCUGCAAAAGCUUCCUGCAAUUUCAACCCAAACUAGAUGGAGAAUUUCCAUAUACAACCUAUUAAGGCAAAAGCCUAGAAGAUUAAAUCAUAAUUGUGAAUACACUAAAAUUGAUAUGAACAUCUACCAACUAUAUCUCAUAAUUAAACCCAAGGAAGCAAGAAUUUCCAUUCCUAGCUAUCUCCUCUAUUAAAAUAUACACAAACUACUUGAGUGUGUUCCAGUGACCUCCGAACUUCUUUCAAUAUGAUCCAACAUAUCCAGGAUGUUUCAACCAUUGUUAUUCCCUCUAGAAACAUUCCUGCUUUUAUGGCUUUUGUCAUGUGACACGGAUGGAAUUUUUGAGACCAUCAAUGAGCUUUGCAACCCUUCUAAUAGUCUUGAUGUUGGCUGAAUUCUGCGAUUAGAUCUACGUGGCUCAACAGGAUCAGAGGUUAAUUUUGUAGAAUUACCAUUCAAAGCCUUGUCCUCCUCAAUUUUACUCAACUUUCCACCAGCAGGGGCAAGUUUUCCCUUACUUACCCGUUCAGGUUUAGCAUUUGAAGUGUGCAUUUUCUUAGAAGAAACAGUAUCUGAUGUAGGAGCGAGUGCAGAAAAUAAGAUUGGGCCCUCUGUUGCUCCAUCAGAACUAGAAAAUGAUUGAAAGGCCAUCAGGUUCUGCUUUUCCAAAGUGUUUACACCAUGGUUUACCGAAUCCUUGGCCUUCAUAGUAUUAUCUGCAACAGCACCAUCAUCAGGAGCAGAAACUGCAGUGCUUGAUAGGUUGUCCUUCUGAGGAAUUGUUCUAACAGAAACGUUCUGUGGUUUUGCAGACUUAAGAACCCUGGGCUUGGGAAUGGCUGCUCGCCUUUCAUUUGAUUCAGUCUUAGAACUUUUCCAUCCCCGGGAUCCUGCUCCUUGAGGCAUCAAAUAUUUUGUUAACUUGACUGAAUCAUUUGGUUCAUUGAUUUGACUACUCCGAUCUGCAACAUAAUGCUUACUAACUUCCAUAAAUUUCCUUUUCUUUCCAGGCUUGGGUACACCAAAUAUUACUCUAGAUCCUUCCUUCUGCAACCCAGUCCUUGUCAUUCUCAGUGAAUCAGACCUAUUCUCAUAUCUCGUGCUCUUGCCGAUAUUGAAUAGUUUUUCAUCAGCUGAUAAAUCAAAUAAUUUUGGAUCAUCAGAUUUAUCAGAUUCCACUGCAUCAAUACUUUUUGAAGUCUUAUCCUUCUCCUUGGCCUCCACAACAGGGCUAUGCACCCUUGGUCGCUUCAUUUGUGGGGUAUCACCCCCUUGAGAAGAUUGCUUAUUCUCUCCUGAAUUGGACCAUUCAAUCCAUUCCUCAUCUUUCCAUAUGAGAGAGGGCCGAAGUUCCCAUGGUUUAAGUAUUGUCGUUUCUCCUUGAGCUGGAAAAUUGACAGUUACCACAGGCUCAUCUUUCUUGCUCUUUUCGGUUACUACUCCCUCCCACCAGCUAUCUUGUAUCCAUGCAUCAACUCUAUCACCAAUAGACCAAUCAUAGUCCCCCAUUGCAGCUCUCCUUCUCUUCCUUGUGCCUUCAAAUGGCAUGGCAGUAUGAGGACGGGCAACGCGCAUUUUGGGUGCCUCAUCUCCUUCACCUUCAAGUGGAACCCACUCCUUUAGCUUUUCUGAGCCUUCACCUGAUGUAAGCUCGGUGUAACUCACAUAAGCCUUCCCGUCCUUUAAACUCAAAACUUUUGCUGGGAACCAAGCUGCCUUAAAUCCACUUCCAUCUUUAAAAACCUCGACAAUGGAAUUCUCCUUAAUGCUAUUCUCUUUUAGAGUUUCCACCUUUCCAUACUCGUUCUGAACAAUGGAACAUCUGGCUCCAUUCUCAGAUUCAGGGACCACCCCAAUAGUUUUGGCCAAAUCAGAAGCCUUGCGGCCCUUUUGCCCUUUGGCAACCUUUGCAGUGGACGCACAAGAGCCAGAGACACCAUCUAAAAAUCUCCCAUGUUCCUCGCUAGAUAUGUCUCUAGAAGCAGGUGACUUCCCAAGGUCAGUUAUCUGAUUUUCUUUCUCAUCUGAUGCAAUCUCCUUUAACUGCCCGGUAGAAGUAUCUGAACCUCCACCACUGUCCACAUUCACAUUUUCUCUACCAAUGUCAUUUGAUUUUGAAACCGGCUCAGAAGUUACUUGUCCUACUUUCCAAUAACCCCCUGGACCAGCAGCUACAAGCUCACUCAACGGCAAAGGAUCACCCAUAGCCACUAUUUUCCCAGCUUGAGACACAGCUUCAGCCGCCAACUCUGCAGCUUUUACUAUGGCAUCCAUAUUUUCAGCUCGUUUUGAUGCAGCCAAAGCAGUUUCAACCCUCCUUCUAGCAGCCUCCCUUGCAGCAACGAGAACUGAAUUGGAACUGUUUGUUCCAUCUCCACCCUUCAAAAUGGAUGCAGGUGUAGCCUUACCCAAAUUUUUCAUGCCAUCAGAAAGAGAGAGAACAUUCAUUUGACUAGGGUUCUGGUGACCACCACAAACCACUGCUUCUUCAGCCAUUAGUUUAGCUUGCAAUGCAGCAUUCGAUGCAACCUUGGCAGCUGCAGCUGCCGCCUUUGCAACAGCAGCGGCAGCUGCUAUUGCAACGGCUGCAGAAGCUAGCUUGGUUUCAUCAUCUGGUAACAACCCAGAAUUUCUCUGCUUAGCUAACUGGUCCCAUAUUUCCUCGCUCUGACUAGCAGCAGAAGCAGCAAGAGCAGCAGCAUCCUCUGCCUGCAGCCUAGCCUCCUUUAUCUUACCAAGGGUAUCCUCUGAUAAAAUUGACCUUGGUUCCAUAUUCUGGCUCCCUUUUGUAAGAUCCGAAGAAGUAGGAGUUGCAGAUUUAAUGAAUUUCUCUGUGGGGGCUUUAGAAAUAAAGCCAACAGAAGUUGUGAUGGCAAUGGAAGUAGACAAAGGAUUAGCAACAACAGAAGUAAUAAUUGGUUCCACAUGAGGUGGAGGUGGCAAAAUAUUCAUCCCAGGAUUCUCAGAAGCUGAAGUCUUUUUUCUUUUUCUAGGUUUUGGAUCAGCAGAAGUUAGAUUGCCCGAUGAUGUUACCAUUUUCGUAUCAAGCACAGAAGUUGUCCCAGUAAAAACACUAGCAGAGGCUCCACUCUGAACCAUGGGACUUGUCAGCUUUGCACCAGAUAAAUGGGGCACAGAUGAUUCUUUUACAGGUGUCAAUUGAACAGUUUCAGUGAUAGGCGAUUGCACAGAAAAACGACCACUUACGUCAAGAGUAGAAGUCUGUGGAGAUGCAACCCAAGGGCCACCAAAGGGAGCCUGAGAUAGCCAAGAAGGGCUAUGUCCAACAAAAUUCCUGAUAACCGGAGCCUGAUGAGGAUGCAAAGGCGAAAGUGCCUGCUGAUAAUCAGUAACUGGGCCCCUUGGCAUAGCACUUGUUUGCAGAGUGUCACCAGGAGUAGGCAUACCCCAAAGUGGUGAAGAGAGGGAUACAAUGGGAUUCACAAUUGUAGGAGUACCCUUGCUGCUGCCUCGGACAACAGGUGAGGAGACUACUUUACUUUGAUGUGCACUUUGUUUAAUUGAUUGCUCGGU